rnacentral:rRNA from 1 species
GACAGAGGGUGCAAACGUUGUUCGGAAUUACUGGGCAUAAAGGGUGCGUAGGCGGCUUGUUAAGUCAGGGGUGAAAGUUUUCGGCCCAACCGGAAAAUUGCCUUUGAUACUGGCGAGCUCGAGUGCGUGAGGGGUAACCGGAACGAGCAGUGUAGCGGUGAAAUGCGUAGAUAUUGCUCGGAAGGCCAACGGCGAAGGCAGGUUACUGGUACGCAACUGACGCUGAGGCACGAAAGCGUGGGGAGCAAACAGG